rnacentral:lncRNA from 1 species
CUUGGUUUUAAACUCUGGUUCAAAAUAUCCACUGCAAUGGGAUAAUGACCUUAACAUCCAGUGAUGACUUCAUUUUAGACUCUGGUUCAAAACAUCCAUUGCCAUGAGAUAAUGGCCAUAACAUCUGAUGGACCUCGUUUUCCCAAAGACACGGAAAUGGAUUAGGUAGGGGUGACUCUGAAUCACUUGCAUUGAGUCUACUUCAUGUGAAGUCCCCAAGGUCAGUUGAAGGUUGUCUGGUGAUCAGCUAGAUAAUUCCAAAUACUUGACCCGAGGCUAGAUGCUUGAGGAGGGUAAUUCAAGAGGCCCAACUGUUGUAUAUUGUCUCCCCACAUGGCAAAACCUGUUUUAUCACGAUGAUAAAAAAAAAAAAAAAAGUGUUUAAUUAAGGUAGAUAAUGCAACUUCAGCCAAUAGGGUGUGAGACAGCGAGAGGUGAAGAUAGAGUAACAUACAUUUCUUGUCCAUGGGAUGAUGGCCAUCUAGUAUAUACGAACUUCAAUUUUUAGCCACAUUGAAGAAAGUUGGCCUCUCAUUAAGACACUAUGAUCACAUUUAGAAAUCUUAAGGAAUUUUGAGAAUGUAUCAAUGCCUUGCAUAAUUCCAUUUAGAAAUCUGAGUCCCAGAAAGGUGUUGAUGCCGAAGUCCCAAAAUUUAAAAUUUUGAGACUCUAUUAUUGUCUAUUCUCCUGCCACAGUAACAAGAUUUCUUUACAAUGAACAGUCAUUAUAAUUUCACAUAUGCUAAUGCUAGCAUAAGCCACUUUGAGAAAACAAUUGAUCCUUGGAUUAUUACCAAUCUCAAAGGAAUUGAAGAAGGCUAGAUGGUCAAGGUCCAAAGUUCUUGAUGACAUUUCUAGUUCGCCAAUCGAUGACAAUAUCAUACGUGAAACAAAAGACAUGAAGUCUGAAACAUUCAAAAUCAAAAGCAUUUGUUUUAAUUCUUUAGCAAGAAAAAUAACAUAAUGGAUCUUAUUUGUAUGAUUAUCAAGUUUAACAACACGCCAUUGCCUGACUCCUUAAUUGGCUUCCAAGAUUUAAAUAAUUCAAAGACACCAUUAUGUUUAAUUCCAAUAUAAAAGACUAUCAAAGAAGGGGUAUAUAAAUUUGCUUGAAAUUUAUGCAAGAUAACCAGUCUGAUUGUGGGAGAGUUAACAAACCUCUAAUUUUUUGUCGACAAAAUCUCGUUAAUUGGAUUCCUGAAAAACGUAUUAAAAAUAAGUAAACACUCAUCAUAGUUAAAAUCCAAAUCCCGAGUCAAAAGAAGAUUGUUUAUUGUAGAACUAAACACAAUUACUAAACCUUAUAAUGCAAGAACGCAAGAUUGUCCUCGAACACAUUUCCCAUCUUAUCAUAUUCAAUUUAUGGCCUUCCUACAUAACUGCAUUUUAUAUUUGAAAGGUAAAUUAGACAUUUUUUAUGUGAGUAAUAAGAAAGUAAAUGCCAUGAAAGGCAAACCAUACAAGAAAAGAAGUUGUAAACAUAUAAGAGUGCUUACUAAUCACUGUUGAAUGAUAUGUUAAUUGUCUCUCUUUGAAUCUACAAGAGUUUAUAUUUUGUGAAUCAUAAUAUGCCACCAAGAAAAAUGCCUCCCAGGGUUAAACCCAUAAACACCUUGAUGGAUUAGACAAAGUCUCGUACUAAGAUGCGAAAUCAAUUUUGAUAUUAUUUAUAACCUUUCAAUCUCUUUUGUGCGGACAUUGUCCACUUUGAGUUCAAUGAAUCCUCACAACCUAAAAAUGUGUUUAUCCUAUUGAAUAGAAACUCUCUGUAUUUAUGAUGUUGAUUUAUAAAGAUGAAGAAAUUGUUUUAAAUUUUGUUUUACGAGUCAAUGGGACCACGAAAAAGGAAAACAAAAAGGAAAAAGUUAGUAGAUGUUGACUAAAAUGGAUUAAAAAAACACACACACACACACUCACAAAUAUUAAAAAUUCCUCAACCGAUUGAGAAAAUUCCUUAACCGGUUGCCACUGGUUAAAAAAAUCUUCAACCAGGCCGGUUGAGAAAAUUCCUCAACCGGUUCCCUUUAUUCCUCAACCGGUUGCCACUGGUUAAAAAAUUCCUCACCCGGUUGUUACAAUUCCUCAACCGGUCUCCACUACCUUCACAAGUCGUACCUAUGAUUCACACCAUAACCUAUAGUCUUACAGGUACUAACUAUAUAAUUUUUAGCAUAGAUAAAUGAAUAUAUAUAUAUAGGAACAAAAAAAAAUCUAAUUAUCUAAAAGAUCAUACAAAAUCAAACAUGUCGAACAUGAAUGAUGCCUAUAUAUUACAAUUUCAAUUUGCAGACCAUAUUGAAAGAAGAGUAUAGAAAAUCAAAAUAAAACGGACUUAAUGAUGAAUAAUGUAUGGUCAUCCAAGGUAAGAACUUCCCAAUAAACAUGACGAUAUGUGGAGAUGGAAAUUAUAAAUAUUAGAAAAACAACAAAUAUCAUAAUAAUAAUUUUUCCAUUGCUCAUGUCGACAUCUUUGUACAAAUAAUAGCGACGAUGGUUUGCUUUUCUCUAUUGCCUCCGUGUAAAACUAAAUCACUUGUUAUUUCCCGACGUAGUUUAACAGAAUUACAUAAGUCGGAGACCGUCAUGGAAUCACCAUUGUUGAAUGUCUGCAUAUGUUUAAUGACAUGCACUACACAAUUCCACCUAAGAAAAAUAAAAGAAAAGAAAAACAACUUAUUGAAUGGUUGUAUAAUUAUAGCUCAGAUAAACAAUAGUAAUGUGAGUUAUGUAUUCAUACUAACCCAUUCUCUUGGGUCGGAAUCGAAGGAGCCCAAUCAAUGGAGAAUUGGAAGACAUCUGUCCCUAUGUCAUACAGUUUGAAGAACGUUUGACAAAAUUCAACCUAAUUUAUUAUGAAAGUGUUAAUAAAUAUGGAAGAGAGAAAAAAACAGAAUAAAAGGAAAAUAUAAACAUUAAAGCAUACCACUGUUUUGACACUCUGAAACUGGAACUUGUCUCGAUUCUUCGAUUGUAAUGAAUCCAAAAUUUGGAUAUGAGAGUUUUUGAAGUCAAUGACGCACAAAUACCAAUGACUAGGGCAUUCGUCAUGCAUUGGAAUAAAUAGUUGUAAAGUUAGAAAAACAAUAUAUAUGAGUUGGGGCACAAAAAAUCUACUAUAUUAUAGGUGAAAACAAUAUCUAUUCUAAAUUUCAUAUAUGCAAUUAAACAUUAGAAAUAAUUACUAACCUUCUCGCAAUCAUCUAAUUCGCUAAUGUACUUACUCCCGAUGGAUGUUUUUCUAUCAAAAAAAUGAUGAGGAGUCCCGCACAAAAUCAUUUGCUAAUAAUAAAACAUAAUAUGAACAUUAGUAUAUUGUACUUAAUACGUAAGUAAACAAGAAGAGAAAUAUGAGCUUACUGAAAAUGUCGUGGGAAGAUAACAUCUUAUACUUGCAAUGCCUAUAAAUUGCCUCUGAAAAUAAUUUAGCUUUGAGGCUUCUAGUUUUAUUACCUGUUGUUAAACAAUAACUUCAAUAAAUUAAUUUAAUUAAUUUAGCACACAAUUGAAAUAAAUGAAGUAGGUACUUACAACAUCCAUCAAAUUUUGUCUAGGGCGUAAGCACUCAAAAUCUCCACGAAUUCCAUGUUCAUGAUCAAAGUUAACAAGAAGCUCACUAAAAUAAUAAUAUGUUAAAACAUUCUUUACUAAAUUGGAAGCAUAUGAAGGCUAAAAUUGUAACAAGACAUCUAUUAAUAUUCUAGACACUACAAACCUUUUUAACAAUCCUUUAUUGAAAACAUAAUUAGCAACAAGAGAUUGAAGUACAUUGAAUGAUUGACCAUCCACCACGUCUUCACGAAUGGACAUGGGGAUUGACUAAAUUGAAAACAAGACAUAAUUAUUACCUAUAUAUGUUGAGUAUCCAAAAUAAGAACAUGAUAUUAAACUAUUUGUAUUAAACCUCUGAUGCUUGACGUUUUCCCAUCUUCCUUAAAUUGUGUACAAACGGGGAGACCUUGAAUUUACUUGGUUUCCUCUCCCUUAAUGUACAUGUUUUCAUGACAUGAUCGGGAUAACCACAUAGUGCUCAUAAUGGUUCCUAAUAUGGAAAAUACCAUUAAUAUACAUCUAUUUACUAUGCAAUGGUUAAGUAGUUGUAAAGAAAAUAUUUUUUUCUUUUAUAUGAUACAUACCUUUCCAUAAUCUCUUCUACUCCUUUUGAUUGGAAAUGGUAAAAUAUCUACAUUUUCGUCUGGAAUGAUAUGCACUUCAAUUGAUGUAGCACAUGCAUCUUCAUUCUUUCCAUUCAAGUCCUCAGUACAUAACUUCUCAAUUGUAAAGAAAAUAUUUUUUUCUUUUAUAUGAUACAUACCUUUCCAUAAUCUCUUCUACUCCUUUUGAUUGGAAAUGGUAAAAUAUCUACAUUUUCGUCUGGAAUGAUAUGCACUUCAAUUGAUGUAGCACAUGCAUCUUCAUUCUUUCCAUUCAAGUCCUCAGUGCAUAACUUCUCAAUUGACAAAGUGUGAACAUAAUGUUCAUUUCCAUUCUUAUUGUCCUUAUCUUCAAAACUUCUCUCACACGAGAGAAUGUCAUUCUUCGUUCCCUUGUCGUGCAUUCUCAAAGGUUUUUCGCUUGAUCCAACGAAGAGACCUUUCAAUGUAGUAUAUUUCUCCUCAAAUUCAGUCAAAACUUUUUCACACCUACUACUUGGACCAUGAGACAAAUCAAUUAGAUGUGUCUUUAAUUGUUCAAAGGUUUUAUCCAUCUCCAUUAAGCUCCCACCGUGUUCCUAGUGAUAUAUGGGAACUUCAUUAAUAACAUAAUAAUACAAGGGUUCACUACUAAUAUUGAUACUCAUGAUGAAUAUUGUAAAACGUACUCGUUUAAUAACAUCUUUAUUUGGAUUGAUUUCAAAUUUCUGCUCCUCCUCAUUCUCUCUCUCCAUUGUCAUCGCAUUUCUAUCAACACAAUCCCUUAUCUCAUUUUGUAUCACCCAUAUUUUGACCUACAAUAUAUUCAUCAAAAUAUAACACAUAUCAAAUUAAAAAUCACUAAAAACUUAAACCAAUAUUAAAAGACUUUUGAAACUAUAACUUACAUUGUCAUUUGCAUAUCCACCGACUUUUUUCAAUCUUCGUUUCAUGUCCAGUACUUGAUCAUCUCCCCAAGCAGUAAUCCGAGGACAAGGUCGAGUAUAUAAUGGUAGAAAUUUCUCUUCGAACGAUAUAUGCUUGUGGUAGAAUAACUGCAAUUAUAUUUGACAUACAUAUAUAGUUAACAAAUUUUAUUAUAACAAAUUCGAAAUUCACUAUGAUGUCGAUUAAUUAUAAGGACAUUACCAUUAAAAACAAUAAGCAAUCGCAAACCCCACUUUGUUGUUUCAUCUUAAACUCUUCAAUCCCAUGCACAAGAUAAGACAACACAAAUUCAGCCCAAUUCAUCUUCUUUAUUGAAUCAAUGUCUUCCACAAGAUGUAAGAAAGAACGUUUCACAAAAAACUUCAUUGUUGGGCACAAUAAUGCACCCAACACAAAUAAUACAAAACGAACUUUGAAAUCGUUUCCACCUUCUUUAUCCUCCCUAAUUUGAUUUUCUAACAUCACUAAUGGCAAUUGCCCCUUUUUAUCACAAUAUUUUUUACAUAAAUCAUUGUUAUGGCUAACAUCUUUGUUCAUGCCAAUCUUCAACCCUCUUGCCCUCAAUCCCAUAAUAAAUUCAACAUCAACGGAGGAUAAUUUGAUACAAGUAUUAUACAACUUUCACAUAUAAGUGUUCGGGUUGAAACUAUUUAUCAACCAAAGACAUAACCCAUGAUCAAUUUUCCUACAUCGGAGUUGCAAGAGGCUACCAAAACCUAUUUCUUCUAUGGCUGCUCUUUGCUUUGGUUCUAAUUCUUCAAUAACUCUAAUCACUCGUUCGGGUGAGCAUUGAGUCUGAAGAUAUAACUGAAAAAAUACACAAACAUCAAACAUGUUUAAAUUAAUAUAAUUUCCAACAAAUACAUAAGUAAUGAAAUUAAAUAUUCAUUACAAAAAAAUUGCCUUUGGAGCCACACCCUUUUGAAGUCAAUAUUGUUUUGAACUUUCUUUGGACUUUGCCAUGAAAUCUUAUUUUUCUACUUUUGAAAGUUCAUUCCACUUCUUGCCCAAUUUUUUCCUCAACUACAUUAAUUGGUCACAUACUUUAAAUUCUAAUUUUAAAAUGUAAUUAUAUUAGACACAACAAUAUUACUCCUUACAUCAUCAUUUAUCUUAACUCCUUUAUCCUUCUCUUUGAUCAUGACCAAUUGAUCGUUACUACAAAACAAUUUCAAACAAAUUUAACUAUAAUAACCACAAAAAAAUACAUUAAAAAACAUAUUCUUUUACAUAUUUCUAUUUUUCCUUACUAGUAAUGUAUCCAAACUCCAAUAGGCCUCUUUGGAUUUCGAACAACUUCAACAACAUUGCGUUCGCUCCUAUAAAUUAAAUCAAAUCAUUUAAGUCAAUUUUUAUAAUAUGAUUUCAAAUAUAAUAAAUCAAACAUACUUUCACUACCACUACAAAAUCCUCCCUAAAUCUAUGUACAUUUUAAAUGGUCACAAAAUUAUCAUAUCAAUUAUUUUCAAUCUCCAAUUAUGGAUUUAACCACAUUAUUUUUCAUUAAUGUCAUUGAUCCAUAAAUCUCACAAAAAACAUGAAAUAUAAUGGCUACAAUAUUGUAAAACACAUUAUCAAUACUCACAUUUUUUUUCCUUAAUAUAGAACUCGACAAAUAAUUACGACACAACCGUCUUUCGAUUAACAAAAAAUUGUGUCCUUUUUAGCUUUCUUUCUCUUAGUACUACACAUCUUCUUCUUCUUCUUCUUCCAGUUAUGUCUUCAAUUCGGGUUUUCAAACCACGAAAUUUAAAAGCCGAAAACACCCCUUAAACAAAAUAUAAAAUAUGAAGAAAAUACAAGGGUUAUGGAGAGGAGAGGGGGAAUGGGAAUAUCGUACUCUUUACUUCAAAACCCGAAAAAACCCCAAAUAUGAAAACUAAAUAUGGACAUAAUCAAAGGGGGUGCGAGAAAAUACAGAACUCGAAAAGAUGCCCCUCGAAACGGCUACAAUAUCUCACCCGAAAACACCCAAUAACACAAAAACAUCCAACAAUACAUGAAGACAAUUGAAAGCGCCUGAAAAUAACAGUCGAUGGAGAUGAGCAGAAAACACAAGUACUUGGAGAAGAACCGAGUAUGGAGAAGAGAGGAAAAUAGACGAAAAUAUCGGGAAACUCGGUAAAAAAGGGAGAAAACAGAAACUAAACUGAAGAUUAAUGGUGAGAGGGGUCUCUAUCUCCUUCUUUAGUGCUUUCUUUCGCCCAUUUCUUCAUUGUCUCGCAUUUGGCUCUUAGGUUUCUUCCGAAGAUAGGAUUUCCUUUUUUUUUUCUGGAGUAGACUCUGGUUUUUAGGUUGGUUUUGAGUGUAUUACGGGGUUGUUUGAGGUGGGUUUUGGAAGAUUAUGAGAUUGUGAGCGAAGAUUGAGAGAGGGUUGUGAUUGUGGAGUCGGGCUGGUGAUGAAUUUGGCACUAGACACUCCUUGAAUGAAGAGAGGCAAAGAGAGGAAACUCGACCCGACUGUCGAGGAUGAGUGGAGAUCAGAGCACGGGGACACAGCCGACUAUGGAGGAGAAGACGGUUGCCUAUGGAGGAGUGUGGAGAUGAGAGCACGAGACACAGCCAACCAUGGAGGAGAAGACGCUCAACUAUGGAAGAGAAAAGAGGGGAAAAAUGGGAAAAUGGGGGCUAAGAGGGGGAGAGAACAUGUAGAACAGGAAGGAAGAGAGAGAACAAACGGGAAAAUAGGCUGAGAGGGGGAGACAACAAGUAGAACAGGAGGGAAGAGAGGGAACAAACAAGAAAAUGGGCUGAGAGGGGGAGACAACAGGUAGCCAGUUUUUUUUUUUUUUUUUCAUUUUUUCUUUUUCUUUUGAAUGGCUGAGAUUUAAUAUCUUUCAUCCAAUGGCUACAAAAAAUCUGAGGCAAGUACCUCCCUCGACACCAUAGAAUUUUUCUAUAUAUAUAUAUAUAUAUAUAUAUAUAUAUAUAUAUAUAUAUAUAUAUAUAUAUAUAUACAUUUUCAAAAUUUCCUAAGGCACAUUUUUCAAGCUUAAGAUUCACAGGGCAAUAAUAUUGUAAUCUUGAUGUAAAAUGCAAGUGAGAUGGAAGGAGUAAUUAAUUUGUUUUAUUAUUCACCAUUUUUACAUGUUAAUAUAUAUAUAUAAUUCACCAAACACGUGUUUGAUCAUGUUUUCUAUGCUUGUUUUUAAAAACUAUUUUUAGUAUUUUAUAAAAAUAAAGGUAUUUAACAAAUUAUUUUUAAAACCAGUUUUUAAAAAUAAAAAAUAAAAACUAAAAAUCUUGUUUAAAUAAAUUAUUAAAUUUUUUUUUAAAAAAAAACAUUGUAAAUUCAAUAUAAUAUGAAUUCAACAAAAAAAACUUGUAACUUUUUUUAGGUUUCGAAAAUUUUGAGGGAAAUAAAAUAAAAAGAAAAAAAUACAAGAAAAUAAAAAAAAACUUUGCGGAAGUAAAUUUUCUCUUCCUUUUAAUUAAAAAAUUAUUAAGAAAUCAAAAUCUUAGCUGGAUCAUUGAGUCAGCGUGGGACUUCAAAACUAGCACAUGUGCAUGCCAUUAUUUAUUUAUUUUUGUACUUUCAAAGCAUAUUAUUUUUAUUUUCAAUAUUUUAAGAUGACGCAUUUUUCAAGCUUAAGAUUCUCUUUAUAAUUGUUGUUGGUUGUAUCAAGAUUAAUUUAAAUUUUAGAUAAAACUUAACACAACUUACAUUCAAUUUAUUAAAUUUGAGUUAAUAAUAUUAGACAAUAGAAUUAGCAUGUGAUCUUUUUUAUUUUAUAAUUAUGGCCGGCUUGAUUCUUAUAAAUAUAAAUAUGAAGAUUAAAUUAAAAAAUUAGAUUAAACUCGAUUUAAUAAAACUAGCUUAACUUUUUUGUUUCUUAUAAUUAUGGUCCGCAAGCUUAUUGUCGAUUUGGGAUGACAAUGGAUGAGUUUUUUUUUUUUCCUAUACUUGUGUUUAACAAGAUAGAUUUGAAAUUUAAAUAAACGAAUUAGAAGUAUGUGGACCCCGUAUUUCAGCUCAUGCGUUUCCACUCGAUGGCGAGCUCGAUUUUUUUAUUUAAAAAAUGAUUUUUAUUUAUUAGAAAAUGACUUGGAGUCACCACUUAUUUUGUUUUAUUUUUUAAAAGGGUAAAUAAAAUAAGAAAGAAAACUCUAAAUGUGACUCAUUGUUUUGGAAAAUGUGGUGUGUGAAAAACCAGAUCGGCCUCGGGGAUCAGGUUAAUUAUCGAGAAGGUACAGUAAAGACUAUAACACCCCUCUAAGUCCCUAAAGUUGAGUAUUUACUAAUAAAAUGAAGCUGAUGUGACAAUCAAUAAGUAAAUCAAUGGAUACUCAAAUCGAUCAUGCACAUAUGGAAAUCAGAACAUGCAUAGAGAAUGAUCAGAGUGAGAGUUGGUGCGUACCUGGGCAACGAGCCACCAUACGCUAUCAAGAAGUAAAGUUAGUAUACAAAUAAUGGACAUAAAACAUAACUCACAUGUCGCUAAAUUAAGUACGAAGUCAUCACAUGUCACAAUUCAAUCAAAUGGGUUUUCAAAGGAAACAUCCAAUAAUGUUGGGCCCCACCAAAACCCAUUUAUUUUGCAUGAACCAAUUCCAAUAACUCCAUUAUUCGGAAUUACAGGAUUAAAUUUAUGCUUAUUUUAAAACAUUUUAAAAAAACGAGGAAAAUGUAAAAAUGGCUUGUCGAAAAGAACAUAACAACCAAUAUUUUUAUUGAAAGAGAUGGAUUUUUGGGAUUUAAAAAUUCUAAAGAUGAAAAAUUGGAAGAUUCGAAAUUAUUUGAAAACUAGAAUUUGGAAAAUCAUUCACAAAAUAUUUUUAAAAAAAUGAGAGGAUGAAAAAGUAGAUGAUGACACAUGACCCAAAAGUUGCAUACCAAAUGUGGUCAUGCAACCGGAAGCAUGCAGGGGCGGGCCUUGAGUAGAAAGUCAACCUGAAGCACAACUGAAUUGAUGAGAUCUGCAUAACUCACUGUCAGAAUUAAUGACAUGCACCUCGCGGGUGCAGUUGCAAAAGUUUGAUCGCAUGUGCUGUAUGAUGCAGAUUCAUAUCCCCCAUAUUCCUGCUUUGCAUUUUCUCUAACACAUUUCUUCAGAAACACAUCCAUUUGACUCUCAAACCCAUAAGAUAUAUCUGCCAGCAUAGGAGGAUUAGGAAUUGAUGCAGAAGCAUGAUGCAUCACACCAAAAUCAAUAAAUGGGUGACCAAAGUGUUCAGAGUUGUAGCAACAGUCACAAUCCAAGCAAAAAUCUCCAAGCGGGACAAAACCAUAUUUCACUACCUUUAACAGUGAUUUUCAAUGGAUGAUCAAGAUCAUGUAACUCCAUAAAAAGAAAAUUAGCAGGGAACCACUGAUCUAGAGAAUGGUUGCCUUUAUGACUACUAGAAAAAUUAAAUCCAUCUUCAUUCAUCUCUGCCAGCUUGCCCAGAUCCCCUAAGUCCCUAAAAAAAAAUCAUUUCCUUCCACAUUAGGUAAUGUAUCAUCCACAUUUUGAGCAUGGCUGGGUUUAUCCACCUCAUUUUCAUCAUUCUCAAUGGAAACAAGGAUGUUAUAUUCUUCAAACAUGUCAAGCAUUUGAUAGAAGCUCAUUAUCAUCUGGAAGCUCAUAAAUAUCACCAUCUAGAACUGAUGGAAGCGCCAUGUCAGUAGAUGGAAGACUUCGAGAUGGACCUGAGUUAGAUGGAAACCCAAUAGGUGCGUCCUCAGGGCCAACCGUGUCUCUUAAAAUGGAAUUGCUUUGGCUGUCAUUAAGAAUUUCAUGUGAUGAUUCAGCAAGGUGACAUGCCUGGAAACUAAUUGAAGUAACGGCGGCAACAGGUCUUUCCUUCUCAACAGUCUCAGUUUUCAGCUGACUAUGGAGAUACCGAACUGAUCAACAUAAAACCAACAAGAAAUGCUCUACUCCCUGAAUAUUUCCUGACGUAACCUCCUUCAGAAUACCAUCGGGCAAAGCAAGAUUCGCAUACUAGGUAUCUGAAACUUGUAAGCUUUCCCCUGGACCAAACCCCUUAACGUGCCAGUCGUAUUCCACUCUCAAUCCAUUUGCAUCAGUGGCCUUGAACUUGUGCAGCGUACACUCCGGCGACAAAGAAGUUUCCGACGCAGCUUCCUCGUAGUUUUCAAAAGACCGACGCGUCAGCAUGCGAGGGUUUUCAUCAACGGCGAAUGCCCAGACCCGACUGGCAAUGAGCUUAUGGUAUCGGACGUCGACAGAAUCAUGAUUAUCAAUGAGAACAGUCGCCAGAUUGACGCACAGAAUCUUGCAGGGGAAAAGAUCAAAAGUGAAAAUUCUUGCGAUGGAUGGGAGUAAGAAAGAACAUCAUUCCUUAGUGGGGACCUCUGGAAUCUCUAACCCUUGCCAUAAUUUAUCUGUCUGUAUAAAAUUCCGACGGUGCUGGUAUCGAAUCUUGUCUGUCAGCAUUUAGAAAUGGCUCAUAGUGGCAGGCUCUGGCUCUGCAUCUGAACAAUCACAAGUGCCGAAAAUGAAAAACCCAGCCAAGAUUAAUAAUAGUGCUACUGCUAUUAGCGCUGGCUGAUGGCGUCGAUGGAGACGAGAACAAGGCCUAAGGAAUAGUGGGAAAAUUUGCACUGACACUGACGUAUUCAUGUUUGCCAUUCUUCAAAGCGGUGGAAAAGAAUGCACCGAUCUGCUCAUGUACGUCUUCCAAGCCAUUCACCACAUAGGAAUAUCCACGUCGACACCUUGGCUUUUUCUGGAUUACUAUUGGGACUAGUCUUGAGGGGGCCAGAGGCACCAGAUCAGUAAUAUCCUUCAAUGUUGAAUGCACACGUGAAAGAACUUGGUCUUCCCUUGCAAGACCACGUGGCUGCUUCAGUAAAUCCCCGUUGACAGUAGCUUCUCAUUGUCCUGUCCGAACGCUCGUGUUCACCAUUGAAAUCAGUGCAAAUGGGUCAUCAACUGACUGGUACCGUACUAAUAAGGCUUACAUCAAUCUCGGGAGUGUAGCUGUUGCUCACCACAUGGAAACACCCAUCUCCGCACCUGGGCAUUCUCUGACCUAACCAUCUCCAAAACGGUUGAACAUUUGUCAUUUGCAUUACGCUGGUGCACCUGAUUUUGAAAAAUAUUCCCAGAACUGUCACGGAUUAUACAUCUUUUCGAAUGAAGGUAUUUGGGCUGCCUCUAACUGAUAGAUAUUGGACUCACAAUGUCUCUUGCAGCAAUUGCUAUCUCACAUGUGCCAAUUUCUUUAAUUUGUACCCAUUUAUGGGCAUCUCCAUGAAAGGGUCUUUACUGACUUUAAGUAGCUCUUUCAAAGGCCAACCUAUGGAUUACUUGGGUGCAAUUGUGAGCUCCAUCUGGUAUUGCUUGGAUCUUACCGGCAAUGCAAGGACUGAAUCAUUACGAGCAGCAAGUUCUUCCAUUAAAAGCCCUUUUUGCCUUAUUUAUAACCAGUUUCCGCAACUUAGGAACCUCAUCCAGAAAUCUAGUCUUGAUCCAACAAAUCUCGACGUUCAAAGCAAGCACAGAUGCUCAAUUUUUCCCGUUGAAUGCAGUCUUCGUUUUCUAAAGAACGACUUCGAUGCCGGCUUCAAUGAUGGCGCCCGGAUGAACGAAAACGUCAUCACCGGGACAUUGGGACUCUUCUGCUUAUCGAUGCCACACUUGUAGCAGUUCAUGCACAAUAGCUUCAGAUCUGUCUAAGAGAUUACAGCCUGCAUGCAAGGUGUUUCCUCCAGCAAAUGCCGAAAUCCUGUGGUGGCGUUCCUGUAAAUGCUGAAUAGGAAGAGUGAGCAUCGCUUUUAUUCCAAGAAUCUGUGCGAAUACGCUGAGACGAGCCAACUCAACCCAGUUCGACACAAAGAAAGGAUGAUUUGUUUUAAACCCAAAACUCAUCUCUCUAUCAACCAACAACUGCGCAUGAAGGGCAUGUGGUGUAGAGAGAGAAAUGUGGUGAUAUGCAUGGGGGCAUAGAAGGUGACCAUGGGUGUACGACUCUCAGAAGCAUGAGUAAGGAAUGGGUAUGGGCAGCAUGAAGGAUGGGUAUGGGUAGUAUGAAAGAUAGGUAUGGGGGGUGAGUAUGUUUGGUAGACUUGAAGAAAAAUGGGUAUGAAGAGCAUAUGGUAUAGAGAGAUGAAUGAGUGGGGAAUGGGUGGUGAGCGAGUUAGUGAGAAGAAUGGGUAUGAAUGUGAACGGGGUGGAUGGAAAUAUAUCAAUGAGAGAGAACGGGUAUCUGGGCAUGCUGAAGUAUGGGGAUGAAGGUGGCCAUGCGCAAUAGUCUCUACGUACGUGGAUAGGAAGUGAGCAAUGGGUGUGGGAAUGAAGCGGGUUGUUGCAGUGGAUGUGAAGGAUGAGGAACGAGUAUGAGGGAUGAGUUUGGAGGAUAGGUAGAGUGGAUUUGAAAUAUGAAUGGUGAACGGAGAUGUAGAGAAGGGAAUUUAAUAGAUGGGUGGAUAAUGAAACAAACUUCCCGGCUGCGUCUUCAUACCCUGAAUUCAGGUUAGCAUCGUCAUAGCCACCUCGCAUGUGCAUACGCAUGUGGCGGCCUUCUUUGUCAACAACCCCACGAACAUGGUGCUGCCUCCACACUCAGCGAGUGAGUGAUCAAUCAGGCGCAGUAGGGCAGGGGGUAUAAGCUGUUUCAAAGCCCCAAGAACCAUAUCCCACGACACUAUUCCAUCUGAGUCUGAAUGCAUUGAUUAAACUGGGCCAUCCACGGACACAGCCUGUGACAUGAAGUUUAGUGGCAGUGAUAGCUUGAUAGUGAGGGCAUGCUUCCUAGAUGGGUCCAUGACUUCUUCAUUGGGUCGUGAACCUCAUACCCACCAUCGCGGCCCACCCACAGGGCCUUGUAUCCAUUACCAUCAAUUUCAACAAAUGGAAUUUCAAACUCAAGUGAGUCCACUGAAGGUAAACAAACGCUUUGCCACCUGAUAUUUAAGAUACUACCAUGUGUCAACUGCAAAUAGAUUGCUGCUUCCCCUUAGUGCUGAGGGGACUCUACUAAACCCAAACGUCCUGAGUUGUUGACAAUCUUUUGUGAGACUCCUUUCAUCCUAAAAAAAAAAUAACCUCUAUCUUCGUGCACAGAAGAACUCCUUCUUUCAAAGUCCUAGUCAUGAUUUUUUUCCAGUAGAAGUAGGUAUCAGGACAUCCAACGUCCUUUUUGACCUGUAUGAGAUACUCCUUGGAAUACCGGUCUGAAAAGAGUAAUUGAGCACGGGCUUAGCUCCAGCUACUAUAAAUCUUCUAAUCUCUUUAGGAAUGCAUCAGAGGAAAUGUUCCUAUGGAGCACUAAAGAUCUUAGGUGGUUCAGUUCCCAAACCCAACUGCUCCCCAAGAAGAAAUCAGUCUUUCAAAUUUAAUGGGAUAAGAUUGCAGGAAGGGGAAUCUGAUCCAAGAGCAUUUAAAUAAGAUCCAGGAGGUGUAUAUGCAUUGGCCUGAGCAUUCGGUGACUCUUUUCUGUAUCAUAACCACUAAGAGAGGAGCCGUCUCUUUCACGCAAACUAGAUUUCCAUUUUCAGCUUUUCAAAUUUCGUUCAACUUUAAAGAGACCCGGUAUUUAGAUCCACAAAGCAACAGUGAAAACAACCACCAUUUCUAGCUCAAUUUUUGUUUUUGUUAGGUAUAGGCAACCUCCAUUCUUAUCAGUAUUCCCAUCGCUGGUGGACAGCAAUUCCGAUUAACAUUAAAAUGCAGAAGCAGUUUGAAGAUAGAAAAUGAAUGUAAAUAUAUAAUAUUACACAACAUUAAACUCCCUUUUGCCCUGGGUCUCCCCUGAAAAUAUUAAAACGAAAAAACUACAUUUUUUGCAAUAGUAGGGACUUGAACCCAAACCAAUUAUUAUCCAUUUUAACAAUGACAAUUCUGAAUCAUUAGGUUAAAACCCACAUUUGUUUCACGGAUUAUCUCCUUGAACUAAAUUGCUAAAAGGUUGGUUUUUGUUUUUUGAUUAAAUUAAAAAAAUCAAAAUAUAUUCAAUUUAAUUAUAUUGAUUGAUAUAAAUAAAUACCCAAAAGUGAAACAUAUAUAGUAAAAGUUUUUCCAUUGAACUACUGUGAUACAAGGUUUGCAAAAAAUAGGCAAGUAGCAAUAGAAAUUAUUAUAAAAUCAUUGGUUUAUAAAAAUAUUAAAAUAAAAGUAUUUUAGUCAUAUCUUAAAUGAAUAGUAGUCAGUCCUUUAUAUGAAAUAAAAUAUAUUUCUCUUUUUAUAUGAAAUUGGUGGGGAUAUAACCAUCAAACAUCAAACCAAAAAGAGAAACCAGCCAUUUACAAGAGAAAAUAUCAAGAAUAUUAGAGAGAACAAAAUAGAGCAUGUAUAUGCAGGCAAUCGUGUUCAACUAAAACAACCUUGUGGCCCUAGAUGUCCACAGCAAAUCACAAAAUAAUAUUCAUGGAUGAUGUUGGACAUUAAGGGAUGGAAACGUAUCAAGCUCAAGAUAGCCUUGCUUGGAAGUUCACAGCGCGACCUUCCUUUCCUCAGCUAUCUUCUUCCUCCAUCCUUUCCUUUUCUCAAGCUAUCUCUCCUAAAGAAAAUGCUAUGUCACUUCCUCUCUCCUCCUAGGCUGCUCAUUCUGGUUCUUCUCUAAAAAUGAAUACGCUUCUCCCUUCCCUACCUCUGGCUUCCUCCCUAAACUCAAAGAACGCACCUCAAAAAUCUCUCCCCUCUCUGUUUCUCUCCUAUCUCUGUUUUCCUCCUCCGCGGCAACGAAAACACCCACCUCUCAAAAAAGUAUCACUCUCCUGUCUUUCCUCUCUCUCAUACGCUCCUCCUCUCCGACCUCUGGCUUUCUCCCCAAGCAAAAGAAUUCCCCCUCUGAAGCUAAAGGAAUUCCUCUUCUCUCGUCCGACUUGCCCCCCAAGAAAGAAUACCCUCAAAAUAUCUCUAAAAAACCCCCUCUCCAAACGCACCACCCUACAACAACCAAAACACCACCUUGCCUCUACCAGAAUCUGCCUUCUCUCUCUCCUACGCUCCUUCAUAACGACUUCGACUUUUUCCAGAAUCUUCUUGACACUAACGUAAUUCCAUGAUAGGCGACCACGAGGUAGCACUUGCUCUCAAAGAGCCCUCCAUCUGGCAAGUGAGCUGCAGAAAAUGGGAGAAAAAUGAGCCCCAAACGGGGUCUACAAAGUGGGUUUGAGAUUUUUUUUUUUUUUUAAAAAACCUAAGAUGAGUUUAGAACGGGUAUUACUUAGUCCCGCCCACCCCACCUUGAUUACAUAUAAAAUUAAUUUAAAAUGUUAAUUUAAUUUAAUUUUUAUUUUCCUAUUUUUAAUAAAAUAAGUUAUAAAAAAUUAUAAUAUUUUAAUUAUUUAUAAAAUAUAUUUAUUUUGAUAUAAUUAAAAAUAUGUAUUUUAAUUUAUUUUAUUUUUUAAAAAAAAAAAAGUUAAACAUGUUGCCUAUGGGAAAUUCGCAUACUAGUCCACCUUACCCCGUCCCGUCUAAUUUUUUUAAUAAGACGGGUAUGAGAAUUAUUUUGAAUAAACGGGAUAUGAUUGAGAUGAGUGCAAUCCAUCCCCAACAUGUAUAGCUUGCCAAUCUCCAACGUCAAGAUGUAUUUAAUAAAAGAUUAAGUAAGGAACCUAUUUGCAACUUAUUAAAUUUGAUUAAUUUAAAAGGUUAGUGAAGCAAAUCCAUUUGCAAAAAUUAAAAAUGCAUAGAUUUUUAACUAAUUUUAAAUAUAUUUGAUUUUUUAUUUAUUUAUAUUUUCCAUAUUAUAACCCAAUAUGAAAAAAAUCACUUUCCUUAUUAUUUUUUUCUUUAUUACUUUUUGGAACAAAUAUAACCUAAGACUAUGUCUGGUUUCCUUAAAAUUUAAGAGAAAAUAUGUUAAGGAAAGAAAAAACAAAAAAAAUAAAAAAAUGAAAUUCAAAAUCAAUAAUUAUUUUAUAUGUUUCUUCAAAUUCAUUUAACUUAUUUUUCCCCAUUAUAUAAAUAUUAAAUGAUUUUAAAAUACAUAAAUUUCUAACUAAUUUAAGUAAUAUUUGAUUUUCUUUCAUAUUUUCUAUAUUAAAAUUAAAUAGAAGAAAACAAUUUUUUUAACAUUUUUUUCUUUCCUUAGCAUUUUCCUAAAGCCAAACAUAACAUAAAUGUUUUGAAUUGAAAACUAAUGUCAUUGUAUAACUUUAUUGAUUGGUUGGAUCCUUCCUAAGGGAGGGAGUUGUUUUUUGUUUUCCCUUCCAUUUUUUGGCCAUCUUUCGAUAGCCAUUGUAUAUAUCUUGUGUGCUUUUUCUAUAUUGUUGAUAUUGGAGGAUAGAUUUUAAUAAUAUAUAUAUAUAUAUAUAUUCUUAACUUCUUGUUUUUAUUUUUAAUGUGAAAGCACUUUUAGAUUUAGCAUGCCCAUAUUAUUAGUUGUAAGACAAAUGAUAGAAUUGAAAAGAAUGAUUUGGGCUUUGUUCUCAGAAGAAACAACGUUAGUAUUAUAAGUAGAGAAAAGGCUACAAAUUAUAGAUGGGAGAUCCUCCCAAUUAGAAGAUGUUAUGAGAGGAAGGUAGAAGAAAGAAUGACAAUAACAAAAAAUAGACACCAACCCAAGGCCCACAGCACAAAUAUCCAAGUCCACCACUGAAACACAAAACAAGCAAGGGUGAAGGUGAAGACAAGAUGAAAGGCAUUUGGCUUCGAGGGGAGAUAUGAUCUAUUGGCGAACCUAUCAGCUUCCUGAUUGGUUGCUCUAGACUUUCAACAGAAGGAGCAUCUCAUGUCUCUAGACAGCUUCUCUAUCCUUUUCAACCAAUGGUUAUGUCUCCAUAAACAACCCUUCUUUUAUUUGUGGCAGGUCGAUUUUACAUCUCAAACUUGCAUGGCAUAUUGCUGUUGAAUUGAAACCCACAAAUUUGAUUUUGGCAUUAUGGUCAUCCCCCUCUUAUGUGCUCACAAUUUUUUUGUAACUUAUUUCAUUUUCUGCCAGGUUUAGCCCUGAAGCUCUAAAUGGGCUAUUCAUCAAGGGAUUGGUUGGCUGGUUUUUGCAAGUCUCACUGCUGAAAGUAUCAUUGCUUUCAUUGGGUAUUGGGGAGGCACCCUUUCUGGACAUUGUGGCAUAGCAGGGUACACUUUCACAGGGAUGUGCUUGGCUGUCCUUGAGAGGGAUCAUGUGGAGUAUCUCAUAUUAUUUCUUGAUGCCCUGGGCAUGCCUAUGCAUGGGAAUAUUCUUGGUAAAAACAAUAAAGAGAGUCCUCUUUGCAGAGGUGAGGAGUUAUGUUUCCAGCAAGCAUCACUAUCUCUUGCUCCUUAUUGCUUUGGCUCAGUUCCCACUUUUCAUAUGGCUUGGCAACAUUAGCCUUCAUUGGCUUUUCUGAACUUCAUCUUUGAUAACUGUAUCCGGAAACAAUUUGCUUCUGUGGAAGUCUUAAAAUGUUGUAGUUUUGGUCUAUGAUGUCGGCCAAGUGACCAUUCUCCAAGACUAGAAAUAUUCUUUAAACUUAUGCUAAAGCUUAAAUAUGAUUCAAUUGUUCUCCUAGUUAAAACAGAAACCAAGCACUUGGCUUCCUUGUUCAGAAUUAUUUAUCCUUUUUUUCCCAAUUGAUUGGAAAUGAACUAGUUUAGCACUUGUAAUUUGACAUGUUCAUUUAAAGCAACUGUAGUUAAUAAAACAAUUGAGCAUGAACUGGAGUUGCCGAUGGAAUCCUGAAAGUGGAUGACAUAAAUUACUUGGUGCCUUCUUCUGGUACAUGAUACUCCUGAACUGAAUGUCAGCAUGGUAUUCAUGAAUCAAGUUUCAAAACAAUUGAGCUCAUAUAGAUCUUGCAUAACUGGAAAUCAAAGUGAAUCUCAUGUUGUUUUUGAUGGGUUUACAAUAAAAUCAAUGACAUCACUAUGGCCUUUGUCAAUGAUUGGGUUUUAAACUCUGGUUCAAAACAUCCACUGCAGUGGGAUAAUGGCCUUAACAUCCAGUGAUGACUUCAUUUUAGACUCCGGUUCAAAACAUCCACUGCCAUGAGAUAAUGGCCAUAACAUCUGAUGGACCUCGUUUUCCCAGACACACGGAGAUGGAUUAGGUAGGGGUGACUCUGAAUCACUUGCACUGAGUCUACUUCGUACGAAGUCUCUGAGGUCAGUUGAAGGUUGUCUGGUGAUCAGCUAGAUAAUUCCAAAUACUUGACGCGAGGCUAGAUGCUUGAGGGUAAAUCAAGAGGCACAGCAGUUGUAAAUCGUCUCCCCAUAUGGCAAAACCUAUUCUGUCACAAUGAUAAAAAGGUGUUUAAUUAUGGCAGGUAAUGGAGCUUCAGGCAAUAGGAUGUGAGGCAGUGAGAGGUCAAGAUAGAGCAACAUACAUUUCUUGCCCAUGGAAUGAUGCCCAUCCAAUAUAUACAGACUGCAAUUUUUACCAACAUUGAAGAAAGUUAGCCUCUCAUUAAGGCACUAAGAUCACAUUUAGAAAUCUCAAAGAAUUCUGAGAAUGUGUCAAUGCCUUGCAUCAUUCCAUUUAGAAAUCUGAGUCCCAGAAAGGUGUUAAUGCCGAUGUUCCAAAAUUUUGAAACCGUGUUGCAAUCUAUUCUCCUGCCACAGUAACAAGAUUUCUUUACAAUGAACAGUCGUGAUAAUUUCACAUCUGCUAAUGCUAGCAUAAGCCACAUUGAGAAAACAAUUGAUCCUUGGAUUAUUACCAAUCUCUAAGGAAUUGAAAAAGGCCAGAUGGUCAAGCUCCAAAGUUUUUGACGACAUUCCCGGUUCACCAAUCAACGAUAGUAUCAUACGUGAAACAGAAGACACAAAGUCUGAAACAUUCAAAAUCAAAAGCAUCUGUUUUGAUUAUUUAGCAAGAAAAAUAACAUAAUGGAUCUUAUUUGUAUGUAUAUCAAGUUUAACAACACGCCAUUGCAUGACUCCUUAAUUGGCUUCCAAUAUUCAGAUAAUUCAAAGGCACCAUUAUGUUUAAUUCCGAUAUAAAAGACUGUCAAAGAAGGGGGAUAUAAAUUUGUACGAGAGUUAACAAACCUCUGGUUUUUUGUCAGCAAAAUCUCAUUAACUGGAUUCCUGAAAAACGUAGUAAAAAUAAGUAAACGCUCAUUAGAGUUAAAUUCCAAAUCCAAAGUCAAUAGAAGGUUGUUUAUUGUAGAACUAAACACAAUUACUAAACCUUAUAAUGCAAGAACACAAAAUUGUCCAGAAACACAUUUUCCAUCUUAUCAGAUUCAAUUUAUGGCCUUCCUGCAUAACUGCAUUUUAUAUUUGAAAGGUAAAUCAGACAUUUUUUAUGUGAGUAAUAAGAGAGUAAAUGGCAUAAAAGGCAAACCAUACAAAUGAAGAAGUUGUAAACAUAUAAGAGUGCUUACUGAUCACUGUUGAAUGAUAUUUAAUCGUCUCUCUUUCAAUCUGCAAGAGUUUAUACUCAGUGAAUCAUAGUAUGCUACCAAGAAUAAUGCCUCAUUUCCUCGUUGUUGGAAAAAAAUGUAGUGAAAAACAUGUAAGUUGCCAAUAGAAAUAUACUAGUUUAAAAAUAAAGCAUUUCAAGUUACAUAAGGUUUGUACAAGUUGUAACUGACCUGAAAAAAAUCUGUAUGUUUGAUAAAGCUCAUUUUAAUGAAUCCUAACAAUGGUUUAAAAGACAUCCAAAAGGAGGAAAGCUGGAUCAGCAUUGCGCAUCCACCUAAAAGGAGUAACAUGAAAUGCAUCAAUAUAAAAUGAGAUGAAAAGAAAAUAGUAGUGCUCAUAAAAAUCCUUUCUGCAAAAUAAUGCAUAAAGACGACCAAUUCAUCAAUGUAAAACAAAUACAAACUGUUCUUUAUAUAGGUCAUAGUUCCAUCAGAGAGCAAUUUCAAACAAUCACAACAACUGAGCACAAGACUUUAUAACAUGGAUGACAAACCAGUCCUCAGAAGGAACCUAAAGAAAUGUGUGAUUCUCGACUCUCCAAGAGAUGUAUGACUAUUCAGUCUUACUGGCAGCUUCUCCAAGAUAGCACAAAAAAUAGCUUCAUGUCUACUGAAGACAGGUGAACUAAGCAGUGUCCAAGGAUUGGUGCUUAGGGAACACCUCAAGUCAUAAACAUAGAAAAUUUAGAAAAAAAGUUAGCAAAUAUAGGAAUCUAAAAAAACCAAUAAAAAUGUAAAAUAAAAAUUGUAACUUACCAUGAUCUUGCUAAGCUGUUGUUUAUCCUCUUUCUACACUCUUAACAUCAACAAUAGAAACAAAAACAAGUAGCAAUAGGAAUUUGCCACAGUCACUAUAGACAUGGAGCCUCCAAAUAUAAAACCCGAAUCCCCUUCGACAAGAAGAAAAAUACUUAUACUCUGACACCUGGGACAUGCACCUUUUAAACCUGCAAACUCCAAAAGAAGAGAUAUGGUUUCAUCAAAUCAAAAAUUUGAGAAACUAAAGCAAAACCAUUUUGUUUCUGCUCAAAUUUGUACAACUAGGCAUAUGUAAAUGUGACAGUAGCUCACAUUUUGGAAACCAAGUGGGAUAUAUUAGAAUAGAUACAAGCUGCUGUUGUUGCUAUGUAAUAAUUCCAUUAGGUAGUUCUGGGCUAUCGCAGUCACAGAGAAAAUACCACUUGGGAUAAAUUGAAAACCAGUUCUUGUGAAAGACAAGUUUCAUGCACUGAAUGGUUCCCAACUUUCAAAGGAAAUAAAAGAUCAUACAACCUUAUGAGCGGCUUCCCCAGGAGGGCAAGAAGAGGUUCUUAUUUAUUAAAGAUGCAAAUGAAAUCUUGAUUCAGAGGACCUCUGUAAAGCACUGAAGAAUCUAUCACAAGUCAUAAAAGGAAGAAAAUUUUACAAAAAUAGUCCUUAGAACACAAUAAUAUAUAGAAUCAACUAUAUAAAUGAAAGUCACGCACCACAAUUUUGCUAGAUUGUAUUUUAUCCUCUUUUAGUCGUACUAAAAAAUGGUAAUAAAGUGCCAAUGAGCCUUUGAUAUAGGAUGAACAUUCCAAUCAGUUAGCACAAUGAAAAGACCACAUGACCUCCUGUGAUACUUUGCACCCAUCCUUUUGACACCUGCAUCAUCAAUGUAAACAAUUUGGUACAUAAAACUGUAAGACUUAUUAUUACCGUUCAGAGGUAGCCGAGUUAAAUGGCAACAAAUUGCAAAUAUAUGUAUGGGAAAUAGAAAGUGAUAUUGAGGAGAGAAAGAGGAAGAAUUGCAUGUUGGGAAUGAGCAUCCAGUGGACAAGAAGAAAAUUCAAGAAAAUUAGUCAUCAAAAUAGAAAAAUAAAUAAACAAAAUAUAUAGAUGACGGUGACUCACUGUAGUCUUGCUGGGUUAUUCUUUGUCCCCUGUUGACACUCAAAAAAAAUAAAAAAAAGAGCAACAGGGGACAACUGGAACUAGCUGCAUUCACUCCAUACUUUGAAGUCUUUGAUAUAAUACCUAGAGUUCCAUCCUCUUUGAGAACCUGCAUCAUAAAUGUAAAAAUUUAAUAACCAGAUGACAAGACACUGGAUAGUAGCUAUGAUGACAUCUAAUAAGUUGAACUAAAAAAAUCAUGGCUGCACAGGGGAAUUGAUAAAGCCAUCUAAUUACCAUAGCAAUCGAACUUUAAUAAACUGCAUUUGCUUCUAGUAUAGCCUCCUCUGUAUGUCAGCCUGAACUCUAUUCUGGAAAUCAGAAAAUUAUACUUAAAAAAUGCAAUUGAAUAGUACAACUGAUGGAAUAAAAAUCAGAAGACAUUGCUAACCAGUGGCUAUUGCUAAAUAUUCCACCUGCCCUUGAAUGGCAUAAAUGGAUCCUCUCUUAUCCUUUUUAUCGUUGUAAGUAUCACAUAUCACCUCUUCAACUUCAAUGGUCACUGAGAACUAAAAAGAACAAAGGAAAAAGGAAAAGUGUGUACCCCAUGGAGAUUAUGGACAAGAUUUACUAAAUAGAAUUGGAGAGGCAGAGGCAGUGAUGCAUACCUAGAAUUGUGUCAAAUUGAAGAGAAAACCAAGCUACAAGCCAUUUCAAAAGCCACUUCCUAGGCAAAUUUUUAACAAAAAGUCUAGUAAGAAACGUACAAGUAAUCAAUUGGGGAAAUUGCUAUAAUGUAUAUGAGAGAUUGAACGCGGUAUUGAGGAGUGAAAGAUAAAGAACAGGCGUACCUUGUUUAAUGUAAAGAUGGGAGAGGGUUGAAUGGUGUUUGCUUCUAUGUUCUGCAAUCCCUCAACUUAUUAUUGCUCAAAGACGUUUUUAUCAUCUAUUUCCACAUAGGGAAUGUGGGCGAUGUUGGGCCAAUCUUGCCCUUUCCCUUUCGAGCACCUUUGUUUUAGGAGCGGGCAGUCUGUGAUAUAUAGUCGUGAAAGCGUGUCAGGCAGCCCUUCCCUUGGGCAAAACGACUGAAGCUUAGGGCAACGUUGGAUCCAUAGAUCUUCAAGUGAGGUGAGGGUUUGGAGAGCCAGGGAGGAUAGAGAUUUCAGAUUCUGGAAAUCUUGAAUGGAAAGAAAGGUGAGGGUUGUAGGAAGAAUCGGUGGUCUUUGACCAUCUGAAAAGGAGGCAACUCGUGGAAAUAUGCCACCAAUGGUGAGUUCUUUAAGAGAGGUAAGUGUGGCAAGGCCCCAUCGGGAUAGGGGCAUCUUGAUAUUCUCACAACGGUAGAUACCAAGUGAUGUAAGAGCAGUGAGGUUUUGCAGUUGAUGAGGUAGCAGCUCCACAUUCUCACAAUUAUUAAUCUCCAGUUCUCUGAGUUUGUAGAGGCAAUCUGGUACAAUUUUGAGACAGGGAUACGACCGGAUACUCAAAUAUUCAAGUGAACUAUUAUUGGAGUGAAACGUCUCCUUUGAAAUCGACUCCAGUUGUGCACAAUCCCAAAUCUCAAGUUUCUUAAGGGUGGAGGGAAACUUGCCUGUGGGGAAGAAUGUGAGAGAUGGACAUUUCCAAAUGUCCAAGACAUGAAGACCACCACUGGUGGCGGUGGUGGUGUUGGAAUCAUGGUGCAUCAUUCCCCCCGGUAGAGACUCUAGCUUUUCACACCUCCAUAUCUUGAGUUCCUUGAGCGUGGUGGGUAACUCACCUUCUGGAAAACCAAUGAGAGAUGGACACGUAUGUAUGUGCAAGUAUUCAAGGAGACACACGUCGCUACCGUUAUUACUACCGUCUUUCAUCACCAUCAUCCAAUCAGGUAGACAUCGUAGACCUUCACAACUAUGAAUAACAAGACGUCUAAGCAUGGGCGGGAACCCCAACUCUGGAAAUGACACCAGCUUUGGACAAUCAUAGAUUUCCAACUCUCCAAGACAUGUUAGCCUGUACAGUCCAUUGGGAAGCUUCUCUAGGUUAUUACACCACCUAAUUUUCAAAGAUUGAAGCUUGCUAGGCAGCUCGUGCUUUUCCUUUUCUCCCAAGGAUACAAGCUCGGGACAACUGCUAGUUUGCAACUGCUGAAUACCAUCAAAUCCAUUUUCCCACAAACACGUCAAUUUAUCACAUCUAUCAAUGUCUAAAACUUGAAGCCCCGACAACAAUUGCAUACAACCUUCAUGUAAUCUGGUGAGCCCUACCAUUCUAUCAAUUCCUAACUCGGUGAGUGAAGGCAAUUCCAAUCCACUCCUUAGUACCGCCUCAUUGCAAUCUUGUACUCUUAAUUUAGAAAGAGAUGGAAGCCUUUCAAGUGGAGACACCAACUGUGGGCAUGUCCCAAUGGAGAAAUGUACAAGGGACGGUAGGUUAGUGGGUAGUUUCUUGAUUAAUUUGGGGCAAUUUAUGAUUUCAAGGUGAAGGAGACAAGGAUAUGGCUCUGAUAAAGAUGGACUCUCCCAAUCUUCCCAUUGUGACAUAGCCGAAAAAGAUAGAGACUCUAAGGACGGGAAAGGCUUAUUGGGAAGACAAGUCUCUCCAUAAAACUCUCUACCCACAAUUUUUACUUCUUUUAACCCUUCAAUCCUUACGUGUUUGAGCAUGGGUAACCACCCCAAACACGGUAAAGAUGUGCAAUUUCUGCAAUUCACCAGAUUUACAUCCACCAUCUUCGAGAAUGAAACAUCUCCUAUCCAAGGGGGAAAUUCUGGACCACCAUAAUACUCAAUUUUUAGUUUGUUCAAAUUGAAGUGUGGCUGUAAAGAGUCAAGUACAUCUUUUUGAUUCCUUGCAUUGUGUGAAUCAUUCAACCCAGCACUCCACUCUAUCGUCAAUUCUUCAAGCUUCUGCUUCUUGUUUAGACUAGCAUCCCUUGCAUCUUGAACAUUUGCUACAUUUUCCAACUUUGAAAUGCAAAGUCCCCCUUGAAGUUGGGGCAUAUUCCUUAACUCCUUUACAUUCAAACCAUUGUCUUUACCCACAAUAAAAUUAGACAAUACUUGUAAGCCUUUUAAUUUGCAAAUUCGUGGAGGCAUUUCUUCUAGAUUUGUAUUGGUCACAUCAAGGUGUCGAAGAUUAUUUAGGUUUCCAAUGCUCAAAGGCAACCUAAUAAGCUUCCGACAAUUUGAUAAUAUUAAUGUCUCUAAGUUAUGGAGGUUACCCAGUGAAUCAGGUAAUCGUUUGACUUUUGUUCUGGAUAAAUUAAGAUACCUAAGGUGUUUCAAAUCACCAACUGAACUUGGUAUCUCACUUAUCCGAUAACCACUCAAUAAAAGCACCCUUAGGCGUCGUAGCUUGGGCAUCAAUCCCUCAAGUACCUUGUUGCUUAACCAAUUAUAAUCCCAUAAUGGAUCAAUUGGUAAUGCAAUAAACGUACGCAAAUUCUCCAUCCCAUAAAAGGCUUCAAACUUUUUGAAGAUAUCGUAUCGGUCACGAAUGAAUGAUGAAUGACGAGCCUUUUUAGAAAUAGUCUGCUGCUGAUUACCUUCCAAAUUCUUUUCCAGAGAAAAACAUAUUUCUCCACCAACAAAUUUUGCUAAAUCGUUAACGAGAUCAUGCAUUACGAAUUGGGAUUUAUUGCUACUUGAUGGUUGAAAAAAUGAUCGAGACAACAAUUCCUGGAAGUAGUUAGCGCCUAAAUCUUCAAUUUCGAUUUGUUGCCUAUGACAUUCUAAGUGUUGAAUUAGACUCUCUGCCAUCCAUAAGCGAAUCAGUUCUCUCUUAUCAAAUUCAUAGUCUUUCGGAAAUAUUGCACAAUAACUGAAACAUCUCUUCAGUGGAGAGGGGAGGUGAUUAUAACUUAAUCUUAAUGCAGGAAGAAUACCGCAUUUAUCACUCGGUAAAUCCCAUAUUUUGCUAGUCAAAAUAACAUUCCACUCAUGUUCUCUCUGUUCAUGGCGUAGAAGACUACCGAGUGCUGUUGCUGCCAAAGGCAAGCCUCCACACUUUUUUACAAUUUCCUUGCCGAUCAAUGCCAAAUUGGAAUGCUCAUCAAUGUUGCUAUUUCCAAAUGCAUGUUUCUUGAACACCGACCAACACUCAUUAUCUGAUAAAUUUUGUAGCUCGUGCAAGUUCUUAUCUCCUUCCAUUAUAUUUGCGACCUUCUUACUCCGUGUCGUGACUAUGAUUUUGCUGCCUCGUGAACCCGACAAAAAGGGAGACUGUAAGCAACGCCAAUCAUUAUAGUUGUCAUUCCACAUAUCAUCGAGAACCAGAAGAAAUUUUUUUCCCUUCAAUUCCUCCCCCAAUUUAUCUUGAAUUUGAUGGAAGUCUAGUGAAUCAGUAUUGCUCUGAGAAGUACUGACCGAGUUGAGGAUUGUCUUGGUUAUUCUCACUGCAUCGAACUGAUCUGAUACACAAACCCAGGCCUUUAGAUCAAAAUGCUUGGCUGUCUCAGGAUGAUCGUACACCAACCUUGCUAGUGUGGUCUUGCCCAUACCACCCAUGGCCACGAUGGAAACUACAGAAACAUUGGUUUCAAUGGGCUCAUCCCUAAGCAGCAUAUCCAUUAUAAUCUGUUUAUCAGCAUCCCUGCCAUAAACCCAAGGUUCGUAUACCAGAGAUGUAGUGAGUGGCCUUUCCCAAGUAGACUGGGUUAUAGCAGCCACCUUGUCCAAACCAAGCCCAGCCUUUUGGGCAUAUAUAGCUUCUAAUCGGGUGGUAAUGUCCUUUAUCUCGCACCCCAUCUUAACAUUACGCAUACAACCAAUAGGAGUGAAAGUAGUACAACAAGUAGGGAUAAACUUGCGUACCUUGCUUGUGCUGCCUUCACCAUCAGCUUCCGCCAUCACCUUUCUUCUUAAAGCUUCGUAGGCAAACUCGUCCAAGAUGUCCUCCAUGUCAUAAACCAAAUCCCUCAGAUCGCCCAGCCACGUUUUCACCGACUGCUUCGUGAUCUGCUUCUCCUCCGCGUCAUUCAGCACUUCAUCAAUCUCCAAUAAUUUUUUCUCCCAUAUUUCGAGCUCGGCGCGGAUUUUCUCUUGGCGUGCAAACUUGAGAUCAGGGGAGCGCAGUUGGUUAAACAAAGCUUGAAGGGAGUAAGAAAGAACAACCUCUGCAACAACUUCCAUGGUUCGUUGGUAGGGAAAGAGAGAGGUAGGAUACCAAGUGGAAACAAGAGAAUAAAAAACAAUUGGUUUGCUCUAUCAAGGCUUCCCCAAUUAUCAAAGACAGUGGACUCUGCUCCUUCAGAGUGGUGGGGCUCACACGUAAAGAAGAAGAAACUAAGGGAAAAGAAGGAAUCCAAGGCAACUGGUGCUAAGUGGAGCCAUUGGAGAGAUAAUUAUUCAAGUCUUGGACCACUCUCCAAUUUCCCACUACACUGGUUUUAGGGGUGGGUGACAUACUCACAUGAAGUGACAGAAAGCAGGGCCCUCUAAUUCAAAGUUUAUUUUACUAUUAAAUAAAUAAAUAAAAAAGUCAUUUUCUUAAAACCCUUCUACAAUUUUCUGACAAAGCAAAUGACUUCUGUAAGCAGGAUACCAUUCUUGUGAAUGGGAAAAGGAAGAAGGUUGAAGGAAGAAGAGUAAACAAGUUUUCCCUUUAUUUUAUAUAGAUUGGUGAUUAGGCUGAAGUAGAGAUACCUUGCUACCUCGCUGCAUCUUCAAACGAUAAUGUUGAUUAAAGAUGAAUUGAAAGCCAUGCUUUGCCUGCGAAGUUUGAUUAGAGAGGAAUCUCUAAAUCAAAUUUUGUGAAACAAUUGGUUUGCUUGCUGUAUCAAGGCUUAGCCAAUUAUCAAAGACUGAAGGUAAGAGAUAAGGAGUUGAAGGCAACAGCUGGCAAGCUGGCAAGUGGAUCCAUUGGACAUGAUUUGAUUAUUCAAGUCUUGGACCACCCUGCAAUUUUCCACACCGCACUGGGUGGUGGGUCAGAGAGUUAAGGAUAACGUCAGAAAACCAAACAUGAAGCGACGGAAAGCAGGGCCCCUGUACGAAAAUAUUACUCUGCAACAAUCAAAAUAAUCAAAGAAUCAUGCAUUGAAAAAUUGCAAGCUAAUGUUGUUAAAUUUUAAAAAAUAUGAAUUCAGAAAUUAUUUGUAAAUAUUUAGAAAUUGCUAAUGUUGGCUUUAGUUCAAUUUCACAAAAAUAGAAUCAUGCAUUGAAAAAUUGAUUUGAAGUUGAAGUUUUACAAUUUCCUUAUUUAUUUUCUAGGAGUUCAUAUAGGAAUAAGUUACAAAUACAUGGGAGGAACUUACAAAGAUGUAAACAAGUAAUUAGGUUAAGGACUCCACUUCCAAGCAGGCCAUGUGCUUUUAAGGAUAGAAAAAAAAUUGUUUAACACAUUAAUAAGAACAAAUAAUUUAAUGUUUAAGAAUAUUAAAAUAUGAAUAAAAAUAAACAAUUUAAUCUUAGCCAGAUUGUGUUCUAUUUAAAAUUCAAUAAAAAUCUAUUUAAAUUUAAGAUAGAGAAACAAACUAGAUAUAAUUUUUUCACUUCUUAUAUUUUAAAAUAUUUUUUAAUUAAGCAUUCUUAAUAAUAUUUUUAUUUCUUAUAAAAAAAGUUAUAAUUAUUUCAUGGAUGAUUAUUAACUUUUUUUUUUAAGAGAAAGAUAUAUCGUUGAAAUAGUUUUUAAGAAAAGACAAUGAAAUAGAAUCUGAAAGUUGAAUUAUUGAAAAUAUUGUAACCUCUAAAGAUAAAAUGAAAAUACUAAAACAUUGAGUGAUGAAAUUUAGGUUAUUGAAUAAAAAUAUAAAUAAAUUAGAUCAAAAUAUAAAAAUACAAAUAAUCGAGACAUAUGUGAUGCGUGAGACAUGCUAAAUAAAAAAUUUUGCUCCCACAAUUUCUAUAAUAUUAAAAGAAAGUCAAUUUUUUAAUAAUCUCUUUCCAUCUUUUGGUACACGCAAUAGAAUAAAAUAUAACCAUAAUUCUAUACAUUUCUUUCACGGGAAAAAAAGAAGGAAAAAACUUGGGGUGCUGGCACAUUGGGUGUCCACAAGUGGACCUUGUAUUCAAUUAUUGGUAAGAGAUGGCCCGGAUAGGUGGCAAUUAUUGGGGCUCUUUUACUUAAUAGAAUAGAUUUAUAAAAUAAUUUUAAAAAUGACUUCAAAAAGUAUAUUGAAGUCUAUGAUAAUUGUUAAAUGUUGUCGAUUUGAUUUUACUUCUAAUAAGAAAUCUUUUUUAUUUUAGUAUGGAAACUUUUUAAAACAGUGAUUUACUUCCAUUGAUUUAAUGAUAUUAUUAAAUUAAAUUUAAAAAGAUUUGUUAAAAGUAAGUUUUUUUAUUAAGGUAGAGUUGGAUUCGAAGUUUUAAAAUUAAGUUAAAAUAUCUUAAUUAAUUUUUGACAAUUUUGAGGUUUUAUUUUAAAAAAAUUUCUUAAUUAAUUUAUAGAAAAUUAAUAUUUUACUUUUUAAACAAAAAUUAUUUUGUUAAUUAAUUUUUGAAAAUUUGAUUUUUUUUUUUUAAGAAAUUCAAUUUCAAACCAUCUAGGCUCUUAGGCCUAUAUAUAUUAUCUAAAUGUGUUUUUGGGUUGGAUGCUUUAAUAAAAUUAACCUCAACUUGCUCUAUCAUUCAUAAACUCUCAACAAAGAAUUCACUAAUCAAAUCCCAUAGUUUUUUAUUUCCAUAAUUAAUAUGAUGAUUUUCCACAUAAAAUUGAUUGUCUUGUAUGUAAUUGUGAUUUUAUUAUUUAUAUGGAUAUGUGAAAUUGACAAUAUUGCCCCUAGCCUCAAGCAUAGGGUGUUACAAACAUCCUUAUUUAUCGACUCUCAACAUGAUUAUACUUUUCAUAGUAACUUAGCAUGAAAAUCUUUCAAUUGUCAUAUUCUAACAUUAUCUAUAAGUUUCUUGAGUAUUGAAAUUGACAAUGCUUUUGUGAAUAAGUUUGUUAAAUUAUCAUUUGAUACUUUCUGAAUACUAAUUUUAUUACUCUUGUGGAGUUUAUGAAUAUAAAAGAACUUGAAUGAUAUAUGGUUACUUUAGUUUGAGUUUUCCUCUUUUUAUCAUUAUGGCCUAUAUGAUUCUUAUUGAUCUAAAAAUUAAAUUUAAAAAAUUAGGCAAGAGAUUAACCUACUUACAAUUUAUUAAGCCUGAGUCACUAAAAUUAGUCAAUUAAAUUAGUUUGUUAUCUUUUUCUUUUUAUAAUAAUAGUUGGCAAGGUUCUUAUCUAUAUCAAGAUUAACUUAACUAUUAGGUAAGGCUUAAGAGAACUUACUUGCAAUUAUUAAAUUUGAGUUAAUAAAAUUAAUCAAUAGAAUUAACUCGUCGUCUUUUUGUUUUUAUAAUUGUGGCCGACUUAGUUCUUAUCAAUAUGAAGAUUAAAUUAAAAGAUUAGGUAACGGCACCCACUUGCAAUUUAUUAAACUCGAUUAAGCAAAAGUAGCUUCACUUAUUUCUCUUUUUAUGAUUAUGGUCAGCAAGGUUCUCAUCAACAUCAAGAUUAAUUUAAAAGAUUAUGUAAGGGAACCUAUUUGCAACUUGUUAAAUUUGACUCAUUCAAAAGGUUAGUCAAGCAAAUACACUUGCAAUAAUUUACAAUCAAAAUCCACUUUAAAAUAAUAAAUAUAAGCUAUCUUUUUUUGGUUGCAUUGAACUUAUUGAUAAUUAGAUUUAAACAUAAUUAAUAUAAUUAUUUAAGUAUUAAUUAAGUUUUCAAAACUAAUUAAAAUUUAAACAUCACUAAUUAAAUGAAAUAGUAUAAAAUUUAAUUAAUUAUUAUAUAUAUAAAAUAAACUUUAAUUAUCUAAUUAAAAUUAUUAAAUACUUAAGUAUUACCAUGCCUAAGAAUUAAAAGAACUUUUCAUUUUUUCAAGGCAUAAAAAAAUAACAAAGGAAAAAUCUUGAUUCAAAUAAAUAAAUAAUUCCAUGGAAAAUAUAGAAAUGAAAAUAAUAUUUAUAUUGUGUAAUACUAUAUUGCAGUAGUCUACAAUUUAUCAGUCUUAUUUGGAUUGAUUUUUAAGAAGUCAAAAGUUCUUUUAUAAGCUCAAGAAGGACUUCUAUGUCUCUUUAAUUAAUUUUAUUUGAAUGGCUAAUGGUUUAAAAAGAAGAUAUGAAAACUACAUAUAUUUUUUUUUAUACUUUUUAUAAAGGUGCAUAGCACCUCAUGCUAAUAAUUUUGUAUAACAAAAUAAAUAUUUCAAAGGCACCUCCAAUUACCUAGAAAAUGAAUUUUCAAUUUAUCAAAUACUUAAUUUUUGUAACAAAGAUGUUUUUGAGCAUUAUCGAACAUUUCUAACUUUUCUAAAAUCAUGACCAAAUGACUCAUAAUCUUUUCGAAUACUAAAACAUUCAUCAAAUUAUUUUGUUAUGAGCUUUUUAUUUUAAUUAAAAGGUUAAAAUAAACACUAACUUUAUUAAUUUUAUGUUCCAAAAUAAGUUUCUUUGAAAGCUUGUAAUGUAAAUUGAUUAAUGAAUUUCAGUUAUGAAUGAUCUCGGGGAGUUUGAAUUAGAAAUUUUGAGAUAACACUUUUUUUUAAUUGUUUAUGAUUAAAUAUGUAUCAAAUAAACGUACAAAACUGAAAAGACUUUAGAGGGUGAUGAUAAAUCAAUUUAAUGACUUAAUUUAAGUUAUUAAAUAUAUUAAGCAUGUUUGAUAAAAUAAUAAAGUUAAAAAUGAUUAUGAGAAAUCAUCUUAACAAUUAAGACUCCAUGACUUAAAUACAAUUAAUUUAACUUAAAGUCAUCUUACCCCGAUAAAUAUCAAGUUUUACCAAAAUUGUUGUUAAUGAUCUCAAUAAUUUUUUAUUUUCUUUCUAAAUAAAAUUAUUUUCAUUUAUUUAUUAAUGGAUUAUGGAGAAUAACCAUCCUCUCCCCAUCCUCUUUUUAAAUUGCAUACCAAAAGUUAGAUAGAGAUUCAAAAAGGAUCCAUAAAUGCAAGUGAUGGAAGGAGCAAUUAAUUUGUUUUAUUAUUCACCAUUUUUCAAAUUCCAUUUUCUGUGAAUACCCCUCCUACCUAAAUGACUUUUAAACAAAAACUUUGAUCAUGUUUUCUAUGCUUGUUUUUAAAAAUUAUUUUUAGUGUUUUAUAGAAAUAAAGGUGUUUGACAAAUUAUUUUUUAAACCAGUUUUUAAAAAUAAAAAAUAAAAAUUUUGUUUGAAUAAAUUAUUUAAUUUUUUUUUUAUUUUGUAAAAAUAUUAUAAAUUCAAUUUAUAUAACGUGAAUUAAACAAAAAUCUUUUUAUUACGUUUCCUUCCUUAGGUUAUAUUUGGUUUUCAAAAUUUUGAAGGAAAGAACAUAAAUAAAAAAUAAACUUUGCUGUAGUAAAUUUUCUCUUCCUUUUAAUUAAAAAAAAUAUUAAGAAAUCAAAAUCUUAGCUGGAUCAUUGGAGUCAGCGUGGGACUUCCAGGCUGGCCCGUGUGCAUGCCAUUAUUUAUUUAUUUUUGUAAUUUCAAAGCAUAUUAUUUUUAUUUUCAAUAUUUUAAGACUGGCGCAUUUUUCAAGCUUAAGAUUCUCUUUAUAAUUAUGGACCUAUGGUUGUUGGUUGUAUCAAGAUUAAUUUAAAUGUUAGAUAAGACUUAACACAAUUUACUAGCAAUUUAUUAAAUUUGAUUUGAUAAAAUUAGACAAUAGAAUUAGCCUGUCAUCUUUUUCAUUUUAUAAUUAUGGCCGGCUUGGUUCUUAUAAAUAUGAAGAUUAAAUUAAAAGAUUAGGUAAUGACACCCACUUACAAUUCAUUAAACUCGAUUUAGUAAAACUAGCUUAUAAAAUUAGCUUGACUUUUUUGUUUUUUAUAAUUAUGGUCGACAAGCUUUUUCUCAAUUUGGGAUGACAAUAAGACGAUUUUUUUUUUACCUAUCUCUAAUAAGACAAAUUUGAAAUUUAAAUAAAUCAAUUAGGAGUGGAUUUGAGAAUUUUUUUUAAAAAAACCUAAGGCAAGUUUGGGAUGAGUUUGAGUAUUACCUAGUCCUGCCAACCCUACCUUGAUUAUACAUAAAAUUAAUUUAAUUUAACUUUUAUUUUCCUAUUUUUAAUAAAAUAAGUUAUAAAAAAUUAUAAUAUUUUAAUCAUUUAUAAAAUAUGUUUAUUUUGAUAUAAUUUAAUUUUUUUAAAAAAAUUAUUAUUAUCAUUUUUUUUUAAGUUAAAGCCAAGGUAUAGAAAAUUUGUAUACCCAUCCUGCCCUACCUCAUCCCAUUUAAUUUUUUUAAUAGGACGACUGACGAGUAUGAAAAUUAUUUUGAAUAAAUGAAAUAGGAGUGGAAUGAGUGCAACCCAUCCCCAACUUGCACUGUUGUCUUCUCCAACGUCAAGAUUAAUUUAAUAAAAGAUUAGGUAAGGGAAUCUAGUUUCAACUUAUUAAAUUCAAUUAAUUUAAAAGGUUAGUCAAGCAAAUCCACUUGCAAAAAUUUAAAAUCGAAAUCCACUUCAAAAUAAUAAUGAUGAGCCAUUUUUUUUCUUCUUGCAUUGAAUUUAUUGCUAAUUGGACUUAAAUAUAAAUAAAACUAAUUAAAAUUUAAAUACCACUCAAUAAAUAAUAUAAUAAAAUAUAAUUAUCUAAUUAAAAUUAAUAAAUACUUAAAUUAGGUUGGAGUUAUUUGGCCUCACCCAAAGUUCAAUUCGAGGUGGAUUUUUUAAUCUACGCAUAAUUUAAAUUGUAAAAGAGGCCAUCCAAGUCUUUUCAAAUUCAUUUAAAUUGUAAAAGAGGUCAUCCAAGUCUUUUCAAAUUCUUAUUGAGUUUGAAUUUCGUUAUGUUGAAACUUCCCAAAUUUGAUUACUAAUUUAAUCCAUGAUAAAUUAAAGUGAUGGUUUAAAAGAAUGAAAUAAAAUUUGAACAUUUGUCGAGAGAUGGACCGUCUUUAGUAUUAGUAAUUGGCUUCUGAUAGAUUUGCAAGGAUGUAGCACAACUACAAGGCUUGGUGCGAUGGGGAGUGUCUGGUGGUCAAGAGUGCAUACAUGAUCCCAACUUACUGUUUAAACUAGGCAAAAAAGUUGUCAUAGGAUGAUAUCUAACUGUAAAUUUACCAACAACAAAUAAUUGAUUUCGAAAUUAGGACUCCCAAGGGUGUUCUCGUUGAGUGGUUAUGCAAUAAAUGAGACACCAAAUUCAUUCUAUGGUUUAAAACAUUUGAUUCAAGAGAUGAUCAUUUAUUAUAAUCUUCAAAUGUUGAUACAAUCAAGUUAUAAACAUUUUACCAAGAUACCUAUUAACUUCGGGAAUCUAAUUAACCUUUGAUAUCUUGAUAUUAUUGUUACAAGUCUAUUAGAAGAAAUGUCUUUAGAAAUUGACAAACUAAAAGAUUUGUAAAUACCGUCUAAUAUCAAUCCCGGAUUGGAUGGGGAGAAAGGUUCAUGAUAUAUGUAGUGAGAUUCUCUUAAUUAUUAUGUUGAUGAAUUUUGAGCCGAGUGUUUUGCCCUAGAGACACCAUCUGAAUGGGCCCUUUUGUCCCAAAGACAACAUCUACAUGGAAAGGAGCAGUCGUUAAUUCAAGGAAAAAUCUUUCCACCUGAAUCUAAACUUUUCCAGAUGCUCGCUCUACAGCAGGUUUGGAUAGCCCAACUGAUUGAGUAGCCUAUCCCAAGAAGUCAAAAUAUGAAGUUUUGUUGAUUUGAAUCCAUUAUUUGGUCCUAAGUCGCUGAAUCUUUCUGAAUUUUCCACAGUAAUCAUUCCAAAUAUCCCAAAAUUUUAGUUCAUUUGGCUGAACUGCUAGGGAGUGAUAAUGACAAAAAACUUUAAUUUGAUUUAGGAGGGUCACCUGUAUCUCAAUUCAUAGAUUCUAAAGAAUGGAUUACUUAACAAGAAGCAAACCCAUCAGAAAUGCUUAACCCUCGAAUCUUACUACGAGAAAAUGGAACAUAAACAGCAAUGACCAAACGCUCAUUUUCAGAUAAUCAACGAAGCUAAAACCGAAGAAAAAUCAAACCAAUUCUUGAAAAAACAAAGCAAUAAGAGCUCUUCAAACUAUCAAAUUUCUAUAAACGCAGUAAAAAUAAAUAAAAAAAAUCCACAACUGCAACUAACUAGCUGAAAAGAAUAGUCCUUGAAAUUACCCUUUCAAUGGAUGACUCAGAGGAACGAACAAACCGGACAACUGGGCUGGCCUUGGGGUCAGGGAGGGCAUAGUUGAAGGUGGAAUUGAGGGGUCUAGAGGACUCAACCGGGGGCUUUGAUGGUGGGUUCGAAGACAAGAUGGUUUCAGUAGGAGGAGAUGGUGGCGGCGGCGGCGGUGAUGAUUCAUGAGAUGAUGAGCUCACGGAAGCGAGACAAGGCGAAAAUCGCCUGUGAUUUGUGGGAGGACGAAGACGAGACAGGGAGAGCGACAGUGGAGUGUAGGACAUUGCAGCGAAGAGGGCCAUCGCAGAGGGAACUGAGAGAGGAAAGGACAAAACAAAAUGAAGAAAGCGUGGUGUGAGCCUGUGAGGAGUCUGAGGACUGACAUAGUGACAUAUGAGGUCAAUGUUUUGUGUGUGUGGAGCCCACGGUUGCUCAUCACGCGGGUAAAUUAACGGUCUGGUUUAAUCGCAUAGCUCACAAUUCUGAGUCCGAAAAUCAUUUUAAAUACUUUCUUAUUUAUUAUGCUCGUAUAUAAAAAACAAAAUAUAUCAAUUAUAAAUUUCACAAAUUAAUUUUUUUAACCGUUGAUUUGGUUAAUAAAUAUAUAUAAUAAAAUUAUACUCUUUCUCGUAAUUAUUUCCAUAUAUAUAUAUAUAUUUCUUGGGUCAGAUUUUCUUAAGAUUAAUUUUGAUGAUUAUGGAGCAAAAAAUUAAAUUUUAGGAGGAUUUAUUCUCAGUAGAAAGGAUUACUUGGAGGAUAAUGUUGAAGGUCUAGGAGCCGAAUAAUCUAAGUAUGAGGAGUUUAAGGUUAUGUUUAGUUCCUUAAAGUUAUUAAGGAAAAAAUAAAUAAAUAUUAAGUAAAUAAAAAAUAUUAAAAAAAAUAAAUUUCUUGUAUUUAAUUUUAUAAUAAAAAAAUCAAACAUAAUUAAAAUGGUAAAAAAUUUAUAUAUUUUUAAAUUGUUAAUCCUUAUAUAAUAAAUGAAAAUAAUUAAAAAAAAUUAUUUUAUUUUAUUUUAUUUACUUUCCAUCACUUUUUUCUUUGAAAUAGUGAAUGAAAAAAUAAAAUUAAAGUUAAUAAAUUAAAUUAAUUUAAUUUGUUAUUUCAAACUUAUUUUAAAUUUUUAUAUAAAGAUAAAAUAAUUUAAAAAUGUAUAGAUUUUUAACCAAUUUUAAUUAUAUUUGAUUUUUUUUUAUUUUUCAUAUUAUAACAUAAUAUGAAAAAAUCACUUUCCUCGUUAUUUUUUUCUUUAUUACUUUUUGAAACAAAUAUAACCUAAGAGUAUGUUUGGUUUCUGAAAAUUUAAGAGAAAAUGUUAAGGAAAGAUAAAACAAAAGAAAAUAAAAAAAUAAAUUCAAAGUCAAUAAUUAUUUUAUAUAUUUUUUAAAAUUCAUUUAACUUAUUUUCCUCUAUUAUGUAAAGAUUAAAUAAAUUUAAAAUACAUCAACUUUUAACUAAUUUAAGUAAUACUUGAUUUUCUUUCGUAUUUUCUAUAUUAAAAUUAAAUAGAAUAAAAUCAUUUUUCUCAACAUUUUUUUUGCCUUAGCAUUUUCCUAAAAUCAAAUAAAACAUAAAAGUUUUGAAUUGAAAGCGUAUGUCAUUGUAUAAUUUUAUUGAUUGGUUGGAUCCUUACUAGGGAAUGAAGUCGUUUUUUGUUUUUUGUAUAUAUUUUGUGUGCUUUUUCUAUGCUAUUGAUAUGCGCUUGGAGAUUUUAAUAAUAUAUAUAUAUAUAUAUAUAUAUAUAUAUAUAUAUAUAUAUAUAUAUAUAUAUAUAUAUAUUUAUAUAUUUUUCUUAACUUCUUAUUUUUAUUUUUAAUGUGAAAGCACUUUUAGAUUUAGCAUGCCCAUAUUAUUAGUUGUAAACAAAUGAUAGAAUUGAAAAGAAUGGUUUGGGCUUUGUUCUCAGAAGAAACAAUGAUGGUAUUAUAAGUAGAGAAAAGGCUACAAAUUAUAGAUGGGAGAUCCUCUCAAUUAGAAGAUGUUAUGAGAGGAAGGUAAAAGAAAGAAUGACAAUAACAAAAAAUAGACACCAACCCAAGGCCCACAGCACAAAUAUCCAAGUCCACCACUGAAACACAAAACAAGGGUGAAGGUGAAGACAAGAUGGAAGGCAUUUGGCUUCAAGGGGAGAUAUGAUCUAUUGGCGAACCUAUCAGCUUCCUGAUCGGUUGCUCUAGACUUUCAACAGAAGGAGCAUCUCAUGUCUCUAGACAGCUUCUCUAUCCUUUUCAACCAAUGGUUAUGUCUCCAUAAACAACCCUUCUUUUAUUUGUGGCAGGUCGAUUUUACAUCUCAAACUUGCAUGGCAUAUUGCUGUUGAAUUGAAACCCACUAAAUUUAUUUUGGCAUUAUGGUCAUCCCCCUCUUAUGUGCUAACUUAUUUCAUUUUCUGCCAGGUUUAGCCCUGAAGCUCUAAACUGGCUGUUCAUCAAGGGAUUGGUUGGCUGGUUUUUGCAAGUCUCACUGCUGAAAGUAUCAUUGCUUUCAUUGGAUAGUGGGGAGGCACCUUUUCUGGACAUUGUGGCAUAGCAGCGUACACUUUCACAGGGAUGUGCUUGGCUGUCCUUGGGAGGGAUCAUGUGGAGCAUCUCAUAUUAUUUCUUGAUGCCCUGGGCAUGCCUAUGCAUGGGAAUAUUCUUGGUAAAGACCAUGAAGAGAAUCCUCUUUGCAGAGGUGAGGAGUUAUGUUUCCAGCAAGCAUCACUAUCUCUUGCUCCUUAUUGCUUUGGCUCAGUUCCCACUUUUCAUAUGGCUUGGCAACAUUAGCCUUCAUUAGCUUUUCUGAACUUCAUCUUUUGAUAAAUGUAUCCGGAAACAAUUUGCUUCUGUGGAAGUCUUAAAAUGUUGUAGUUUUGGUCUAUGAUCUCGGCCAAGUGACCAUUCUCCUGGACUAGAAAUAUUCUUUAAACUUAUGCUAAAGCUUAAAUAUGAUUCAAUUGUUCUCCUAGUUAAAACAGAAACCAAGCACUUGGCUUCCUUGUUCAGAAUUAUUUAUCCUUUUUUUCCCAAUUGAUUGGAAAUGAACUAGUUUAGCACUUGUACUUUGACAUGUUCACUUCAAGCAACUGUAGUUAAUAAAACAAUUGAGCAUGAACUGGAGUUGCCGAUGGAAUCCUGAAAGUGGAUGACAUAAAUUACUUGGUGCCUUCUUCUGGUACAUGAUACUCCUGAACUGAAUGUCAGCAUGGUAUUCAUGAAUCAAGUUUCAAAACAAUUGAGCUCAUAUAGAUCUUGCAUAACUGGAAAUCAAAGUGAAUCUCAUGUUGUUUUUGAUGGGUUUAGAAUAAAAUCAAUGACAUCACUAUGGCCUUUGUCAAUGACUUGGUUUUAAACUCUGGUUCAAAACAUCCACUGCAAUGGGAAAAUGACCUUAACAUCCAGUGAUGACUUCGUUUUAGACUCUGGUUCAAAACAUCCACUGCUAUGAGAUAAUGGCCAUAACAUCUGAUGGACCUCAUUUUCCCAGACACACGGAGAUGGAUUAGGUAGGGGUGACUCUGAAUCACUUGCAUUGAGUCUACUUCGUACAAAGUCCCUGAGGUCAGUUGAAGGUAGUCUGGUGAUCAGCUUGAUAAUUCCAAAUACUUGACGCGAGGCUAGAUGCUUGAGGGUAAAUCAAGAGGCACAGCAGUUGUAAAUCGUCUCCCCAUAUGGCAAAACCUAUUCUGUCACAAUGAUAAAAAGGUGUUCAAUUAUGGCAGGUAAUGGAGCUUCAGGCAAUAGGAUGUGAGACAGUGAGAGGUCAAGAUAGAGCAACAUACAUUUCUUGCCCAUGGAAUGAUGCCCAUCCAAUAUAUACAGACUGCAAUUUUUAGCAUAUUGAAGAAAGUUGGCCUCUCAUUAAGGCACUAAGAUCACAUUUAGAAAUCUCAAAGAAUUCUGAGA